rnacentral:rRNA from 1 species
UACAAGAUUUCACUCCUACCCCCUGUAGUACCUCUUACCUCACCCGGUUCCAAGUCUGGCAGUAUCCACCGAUAGACUACCAGUUAAGCUGGCAGAUUUCCCGGAAGACUGUCCAAACAGGCUACGGACCCUUUAGACCCAAUAAUAACGAUCACCACUCGGGCCGCCGGUGUUACCGCGGCGGCUGGCACCGGUCUUGCCCGGCCCUUGCUAACAGGUGCAAGUUAAGCACCUGGACAGCCAGCAAUUCUUGCUAGCACUCGGUGUCCCCUUAUCACGGUGACCCGCAUUGUAAAGAUUUCGCGCCUGCUGCGCCCCGUAGGGCCUGGAUUAUUGUCUCAGAAUCCAUCUCCGGGCUCUUGCUCUCACAACCCGUACCCGUCGUAGGCUAGCAGGUACAUUACACCCGCUACUACCUGAUAGGCCGCAGACCCAUCCUUGGGCGGAAAAAACCGUUUAAAACGUAAAGCAUUCCAGCAGAUACGGAGUAUCCGAUAUUAUCCCCAGUUUCCCGGGGUUAUGCCGGUCCCAAGGGCAGGUUAUCCACGUGUUACUGAGCAAUAUGCCAUGUUCACGAAGAACAUAUGACUCGCAUGGCUUAGACGAACACCGAUAGCAGUGACCUCUGGCAGGAUCAACCGGA